CUUGCCCAAGGAUCGCCCCGUAUAGGAUCGGCACCCUGAUCUGGACGCCAGAGGUGGCCGGCGCCGUCCGUCUCCGCCUACCUCCCGCUCCCUCCUUCCUCCCGUCGCCUCAUGCCCCCGCAUCCGCACGGCUGAAGUCGCCUACGCAGGGGAGGAGCGAAACCCUAGCUCCGGAUUCUUCUCCUCUCCUCCUUUCUUCUCUCCGAUGCACCCGAGUGACCGAGUGUGCGGCGGCGAUGGUGACGACGACGGUCCGGCGGAGUGGUGCGCACGAGCUGUCGGCUGGGGGCGCAGCGAGGUGUGAACGGCGCGCGUGCGGUGGCACCGGCGCACCCAAGAGGGGGCUUGGAGUGCAAGCCAGAGCACGCAAGGACGGAGCGUGUGCCGGCGCGCGAGGACGGUGUUGCAUGCUUCCUGGCGGUGGCUGCACAGCGAGCUUAUGCCUUGAUGUUCUUCGGUGGUUUAGGGCUCCAAUUCGGGUUAUUGGGCUUGACGAAUUUUGUGAUUUUGGGACUGUGCGUGAUCUGCCGGCACCUCCGCCGCUGACGACAGGGGAGGUUGCAUGCCAUCGACAUUGUGCCCCCGUAGUGUCGACUUGAACCGGCUUGGACACAACUCCAGGCUUCGUCUCAAACAGGCAUGUGAUUUCCUGAUGCGUUCUUCGUGGGAAAAAAAGUUAUUUUUCCAAGAUGAAGUGACUGCAACGUCAUUUGACUGAAUUGGAAGGAUAUUGCAGCUAGUUGCUUGCCUAUUGCAGCUGUUCUGGCAAUAUAGAGUGCAAUUACCAGGAUGUUUUUGGCAGAAGCUGCAUAUUUUUGUUGUAGGUGCAAUAUUCUUCUGAAGAUACAAAGCUUCAUAUUUUGCUGAAGAUAGACAAGUUGUACAGAUGCAUGUGCUGAUCCUAGAGAGAAAUUGUGUUUGUGUAGCCUACUUUUGAUGAUUUUCGUUUUCUGCUGGUUACUUGUAUGAAUACAUUAUAUAGAUGACUUUGUAUGAAUGCAUGUUCUGUAAUUGAUUUCAGACAUGAUGAGGAUCUUGUAAGAUAUUUUUGGUUGGAUUGAAAACGCAUAUAAAUUACAUGGCAA